UAAUCCUUUUAAUGUGCUAUUGGAUUUGGUUUGUAUUUUUUUUUUUUGCAAAUUUUUCAAUGUAAUGAACAUUGAUCUGUAAUUUCCUUGUGAUACCUUUAUGUGUUUGUGCAUUAGGGUGAUAUUGGCUUCAUAAAUGAGUUAGGAAGUGUUCCCUCCUCUGUAACUUUUUGGAGGGAUUGGUGUUAACUCUGUGCAAGUGCUACCAUAAACAUGAAGGGCACCAGGAAGGAUCCAGCGUCUGGGUCUCAUUUGUAAGGGAAAAAGAGCUUCUGAAAGCAGCCUGUAUUUAAAAUGGAUGAUUCUUUCCACCAAAUACAUAUAAGUGAAAACUGACAUUAGUUGAUUGAGCCAAAGGAAAUGGCAUUUGAUUUGACAUUAAGUCCUCAAUGAGACCUUUAACUGAAGACUCCAUCCCAAGUUGUACUGGGCUAGAAAUCGGAAGCCUUAGGGUCUGGUCUUGGCACCCCCAGCUUCUAGGCACAUCAGUCACUUCCCCUCCAGGACCUUCUUAGGAGCAAAAGGGCCCAGAGGGUGAGGAGGCUGAGUUCACAAGCCCAUGAAGUUCAUCCUGUGAAAUCUAACAUCCUCACUGAGGGUAAAAUACAAAUUUGAUGGUAAGCUGCCUAGCAGCCAGUGGAAAAAGAGAAGCCAUCAGACAUAAAUUCUCUUAAAAAAUUGACUUCUUAGGAAAACUUCCCUCUUGUACCAGUACCACAGACAGUGAUGUGCGGGAAAUGACACCCUACUUACAGGCGACAGCAGUAGGUAAACCUCCAUAAGCUGCUUCUCAGUGUUCCUUGUGUUGCCGCCGGCAUGCUAAGAAAGUGUCAUUCCCAGGGGCUUCAUGGUUCAGACACGUGGCUCAGCUAGGGCACUGAGCACAGGCGGGCACUGGUUGGGAGGAGCUCUGCAUGGGGUGCCAGAGUGGCAGGGUUUGCCUUCCUCCCCAGCCUCAAGCAACCGAGCAGAAUCUGAGCAGCAGACGAGGCCUCCCAAGAACCUGGUUUCUGCCUUGGGGUGGCAUUUCCCGGUUUGCACCCUUGAAAUCCCUGCUGUCACGCCCCCAAGGCAAAAGGUCAGAGCCAUGCUAAUUCUCCCGUUUAUUUGAAAUAGCCAGAGAACAUUAUAACCAGUUUCCAUCAGUUGCACAGCCCGUGGCAGAGUGAACAGGGCCAGGGAAGGCCCAGUAAACCCCACAGCCGUGGAUGUGUGCUCAAGAGCCCCUGCAGGGUGGCUGCAAUUGCGAAGCUGCCUGCACACGGCAGGCCAGUGCUGCUCUUGCCCCGUGAGACACUCGUGAGAAUCUGAUGAACCACAGCGGAUAAAAAGGCCCUGCUGCUGGUACCAGGGCCCCUGGACCAUGAGGUAGACAUUUUUGGCAGUCUCUGACAGCUUUUAUUUUUAACUUCAAGAACAGACUCACCACUUUUACUGCCGGAACUCUGAUCACUGACAUUCUAGAACUGAACACAUCAUGAACAUCCCAGGGACCUACGAUUCUGGAACAAAUGGACUCCGUGCCUGUGCAGACCCCAGCAAGACACAGACUGACCGCAAGUCCCAGGAAGGCCAAGACAUCAAUGAAGGAGUCCAGAGGAAGCUCUCCAUCAAGAAACUUCUCUGCCAUGUUCUGAAAGAGCCAGGAGACACUUGAUUAAAAGGAUGGGUCAGCCAUUAGGAAAGAAAACUCUCAUUACCGAAGGUGCUGGGUGUCAAAAACAUUGGCAGCAAGAGAGGCAGCACCACCCUUUCUCCUGGUAACCCCCCAUGACGUCCAGAGGGCAGACCUGGAGCUCAGGCUAAGCAGUAUCGGGCUUUGUAAACCAAGUCUGCAUCAUCCUAUCUGCCAUCCACCCUUGGAGAGAGUGGCCACUGCCCCUAGUCUGGCCCUUGUGUUAUAGUCAGUCUGCACCCACUGUUUCUUCCCUCUACACCUGACUACAUCCUCACAGAGGGACUUGCCCUGGACGGGAAAGAGCAGGCGAGAAACUUGCUUGGAGGCAUCAGGGCUCUUAAAGCCUAGCUGUUCAGCAGACCAGCGCAGACUCAUCUUGGCCACAGACGGCCAGCCCCAACUUGAUUCACCUCAGAGCCACAUCAGACACUGACUCAUUUCCUUAUUGCCUAGUGGGCCAAGCCCAUGGUGCUCAGCCGGCUGCUCCAAAUGGCUCUGUGACUACCAGCUAACUCAGAGCAGAGGCUAAGUGAGCCACAGCACCCCCAGGCCCUGCCCUAACUCAGCGGAGCAGUGACAAGACCAGCCCGCUGCUCCGCCUGGAAUCCCUGCCUCGCAUGCCCUGACCCUCAACUCCCAGGCAGCAGCCACUGUCCUUCCAGGACUCAUGCACCGGUGCCGGGGGACACCACCUCCUGCCUGUGGAGGGUGGCAUGCACUGUCCCUGCCCAGGGUGACCAGCGACCCGGGGGCACUCAGCCACAGGCAGAUGCUUUACCUCCGUGUCUUCCUCAAUCUUGGCCCCUUCGGCUUGAAGAAGUGCUAAGAGGGUCUCCAAAGAAGCACAGUUGGACUGUUUAUCUAGGAAAGACAAGAGGCCUGAUGAGGUAAGGCGGACAUCCAGGCCCAGCCCUCAGAAAUGACAGCACACCAGCCCUGCAAGGCCACGUGUUCUUCCUCUCCCUCAACUCGCGUUGCUUUUAACUGGGAAGGCAACAGUCACACCUGCUGAAAAAUGAUUUUCCAGGAAGCUGAACAUAAAGGUCUUAAAAUCGAUGACCACGCGUCAGAAGCAUCCACUGCAGAGUGGGACCUCUGAAUAUGUGAAAGUAACAAUGUAAUAACAGUUUCACAUUUUCUUUAACUAAUAAUUUAACACUACACAUACAAAUCUUAAAUGUAUGGCUCAAAUUUUUACAUACGUAUAAACUCAAGCGGUCACUACCCAGAUCAAGAUAUACAACAUUUUCGAAGGCUCCCCAUGUCCAGACGAUUCCCCGUCCCAAAGAUCAGUUCUGCCUGGUUUUGAACUCCACAGAUGUAUGAUUCCAUUAUGUGUAUACACUGUGUCCGGCGGCUUUCACUCUACAGUAUGUUGGAGAGCAGCUGUGUUGCCACAAAGACCAGGAGUUCAUUUCUUUUCAAUGCUGUGUGUCUUUGUGUAAAUUUCCUUACCAUUUUGUAGACUGUAGCUAUGCAAAUAAAGCUACAACAAACACUCUUGUGCAUCUCUUUGGUUAGACAGAAACAUCCAUUUCUGUUGGGCAUACACACUAGAACAUACAGAUGCUUGCUUUUAGUAGUCUGCCAAACGGUUUUCCCAAGGUUGUCUUAUUGACUUAUAUUCCUAUGCAGCAAAGUUAGAGUUCCUUAUCCUCACUGACAUUUGAUAUGGCCAGUCAUUUUACUUUUUAGCCAGUGUACCUGGGUGUGUAAAGUAAGGUUUUACUGAAGUUGAGGAGAAAAGGAAGGGGAUUACUGCAAACCUCACAAGUGAGGAUUUUAACCGACUACUUGAUCUAAAUGUCCCUCUGAAGGCUACCAAAAGCAUCCAAAACAUUCGAUAAGAUUCAAUUUAAGAAAUGGCUGUCUCUUUUCUAAAAUAUAUAUAAAUUGUUUCUUCACUGUAGUACAUCACUGUGAUAACCUGAAAUUCUUCCAUAAUAUUUCUUUCCUGGCAGAACAACAGCCUGAAAAUGUGUGCUUCCCUCAACUCUUUAUUCUUAGAAAGAUGACUGUUAAGAAAGUUACCUAAUUUGGUCUUCUUGAUCUGAUAGGCUUCAAAGAGAACCUGUAGUUCCUGGUAUUUUUGGGUCAAACUGGCUUUCAUAGUGUCCAGCUGUGGCUGGUACAAAAGGUUUCCUUCUGCCAGGCUCCGGUUGCUGGCGAGCGUCAUUUCUUUGUUCAGCUGAACAUUCUGCGUCUGCAAAGAACAUACAGGAUGAGAACCAAAAGCGUAUUAGUUCAUGGGUAAGUCCCCUGCAGCUCCUCUGCCCCACCCCCAGGAGCCCAGUGCAUCUGAUCCAGUGUCUCUGGGUUUCCAGGCUGGCACCAUGUGUGAGGCGAACGCUACCAAGGCCAACUCCAGCCCCUCUGAUUUCUCGAAAGUUCUGACACUGCCCCCACUUCUUAAAGAGUGGGGCUGACUUCCUUUCCAAUGGGUUUUCAGGACUGGCUUUGUCCCAUGACUCCGUCCUGAAUUUUCAUUUCAAUAGCUGUACUGUGACUUGAAUUCUUUACUACUGCCAUUGUUCUUGCAAAAGUAAACAGCUGGAAAGAUUUAGGGCUAGAUAUUUUUUUAAAAAGCAAGUUUCUGCUGCCUCAGAGACCAUUUGGCAUGAUGUCAAUUCAGGCUUAACAUCAGGCUCAGAGAUCAAAGAGGAAAGCUUGAAAGACCCUGGGAAUUAAUUCUGCUUAGUGGCCCUGCUUCGCUUCUCUCCCCACGCCCACCUCAAGCUGUCCCGGGUCUGAAGGGAAGACCCAAGUCUUCUCAGCCCCUGGCUUUCAGUCCACUGGAGAAGCUGACACAAAAAUUGGGAGAGGAGUGUGUGUGUUUAUAUUGCCCAGUAGGGGUUUCCCUCUUUUCCUUGCCAGAGAGGACUAGCUGUUUAGCAGACAGAGAAGCCCACCUGCCCAGACCACAGGGGAGAGCCAAGGGGUGUGAGGGAGGAAAUGGAAGGGCUGAGAGAAAGGUAAGGAAGCUUCUAACAAAGCUUAACCUGUUAAAAGACAAAACAAAAAUCACAAACACAUCCAUACUUCUGGUUCCCCUUUUCACUCACUUGCAGACUACUUCUACCACAGCCUACCGGCAACCUCCCUUUAGGACUGGAAGUUUCAGUAGUUCACAACUCCUUACCCGGUGUGUCAGCAUUUCUCAGGAGCUCUUUAACCCCACUGCAGGCAUCUCAUUUUCCCCUUAAUAUUUCUACCACCCCCACCCAGUUUAUUUUAGCUGCUAUUUCCUUCCUCUCUUCUAGUUCUAGUGCAGUUCCUCAUUGUCCCCCACUCUCCACCCCCCUCCUCCUCUGCCAGACUCAAUUUAUGGCUCUUCACUCUCCCACUACACACACACACAGGCAAGUGACUGCAGUAAGAGAACAAAAGAAAACAGCCCUUGGAUUAGCUUCAACUGAAGGGAUUUAAAGUGGAAAAGUAAAUCUCUAAAUCAAUGCUAUAAAAUAAAAGUUGAAAUGUCCCCAAAAUUAGGACAGAAGAAAUAUUGUUGCCUCUUCCUACUGCUUUUAGUAAGCAAGGAGAACUUUGGGGCUCCUGGCACAGCGGGGUUGCAGGAGGCAUCUUAAGAGCCCUAGCAAGUGCCCCAACCCCCCCGGGGGGGCUUCCUCCUCCAACGGUCUCCCCCCUCCCCAUCAACCAGAGUAGCGCCACUUCCAUCAGCUUUAGACACCAAGGUCCUGCAGAAGUGUCUUUCCUUUCAUUGUUAAGCCACUUAGAAGAACAAACCAACCACUGCAUGGACUCCCUGGAGAACAACUGGGCAAUUUCUUAUAAAAUUAAACCUGCAACUACCAUAUGACCCAGCAAUUGUAUUCCUGGGCACUGUUCCAAGAGAAAUGAAGAUUAUAUUCUCACAAAAAACCAGCACAUGAAUGUCUGUAGCAACUAUAUUUUCAACAGUGCAAGAAUGGAAACUAAUCCAGUUGUUCUUUAGUGGGUGAACGGUUAGACAAACUGGGGUGCAUCCAUACCACAGAACACCAGGCAGCAAAAAGGAGGAGGGGGUGCUUGAUGUGCACAACAACCCAGAUGACCCACCAGGGGAUUACGCUGCAUGAAAAAAGCCAAUCCCAAUGGUUCGGAUAUGCUACAAUUCCAUUUAUACAACAUUCUUGAAAUGAGAAAAGGGCAAGAGGACACAUCCUUCUGUAUUGUGGCACCAGUGUUAAUACUAAUGUGGUUGUGAUACUGCACUUGAGUUUAACACUAGGGGAAAUGGGUGAAGAGUACAUGGGUGCUCCCUGUAUCAUCUGUAUUAUUUCUUACAAUUGCAUGUGAAAAAAUAUCAGCCAAAAGUCUGGCAAAUAAAGUGGGUAACAAAAUGUGGAAUAUAAAA